rnacentral:misc_RNA from 1 species
UAGGAGCGAGGCUUGCCCGCGAUCAGCCGACAGGCUGAAAGGUCAGCGUUGCCCCACUAUCGCCAUCGCGGGCAAGCCUCGCUCCUA